AGGACGGUAGCUUAAUCGGUUUAAGCCUCCGACUUAUCUGAGAGUAGUUUAAAAGUAAAACUGUUAAUGUAAGUGCAAGACUUGCCUUUCAGACCAAAUCGGAAGAUUGUGAGUUCGAGUCUCACCCGUCCCA
rnacentral:tRNA from 1 species